UUAUUGGCACUUUGAGCAUUCGAUGUUGUCCUAGCCCUAAGGAACUGCUGCAGAUCCCCAACCAUCUGCAAAUCCCCUAGGCAGCCACUCCAUCCUGCCUUGCUUGCUGCCAGCCACAGCGUUGUCUCAGUCUGAGCCCACACCACAGCCUGAGCUCUCCUCUUCCUCACCCUGGGAAUGGCAGUAGAUAAAACAUCAAUAAGCCACAGAACAGCUCACAGAGGCCAGCUGGUGACGCAAAAGAGUGGAGAGGAACUGGAUUUGCCUGCAGAAAAAGAUGUCACAUAUCUUAGUGGACUGACAUUAGAGAUUUGAUAUGUGCCUUGAAAAUGAAGAGUGAAGGAAUUGAUAAUUAUUGUCAUGUUAAUUUUCCUGGGGUGUGUCUUCAGAAGGUCUGUCUUUCGUGGCUGUGGCUUGGACUGAAGCUUAUACUCCAGGACAGAGCAUUAAGAACAAAUCAACUUGAUUGUAUAUAUGUCUACUUGACAGCAGAUGGAAAUUCUUAGCUGGAAAUUAAGACUGAAUUUCCAUUUUCACUAAGUCAGUGCAAAUUUGUGGAAGGAGAAACAUAACAAAACAAACAAAAAUAGCUUAGGAAUUAGUCAGUGUACAUUAUCUUUACUAUAGGAAAAAAUAUGUUGUUUUCAAGGCUGGACUAUUUUUAAUAUGGGUAAUGACCUUAGUGUCACUUCCUCUAUGAAACUUGUACUGUAACACCUUUGUACUUGAUUCACUUCCUGAAUUACUGAAUGAAGCUAAAGUGUUUUGUCAGUGAGAAGGCAAAGUUCAAGCACUAUCCACAUGCAAACUUGGGGCUUUCAAAGAAGCUAUGAAUGUUGAACAUUUGGUCUCACUAAGAAGUAUUUUGCUUCUAGAAAUAAUGUGACUCUAUUAUAAUCUGAAA